AGUGAAUAGAUACCCUGGUAGUCCUAGCUGUAAACGGCGCGCGUUUGGUGUGAGGGGGUUCGACCCUCCUUGUGCCGGAGCUAAACGCGUUAAACGCGCCGCCUGGGAAAUACGGUCGCAAGACUAAAACUCAAAGAAAUUGACGGGGGCCCGCACAAGCGGUGGAGUAUGUGGCUUAAUUCGAUGCAACGCGAAGAACCUUACCUGGGCUUGACAUGCAUCUCUAAGUCGGUGAAAGCUGGCGAAUGUAGCAAUACAUAAUUUGCACAGGUGCUGCAUGGCUGUCGUCAGCUCGUGUCGUGAGAUGUUGGGUUAAGUCCCGCAACGAGCGCAACCCUCGUGCACUGUUACUGGUUAAAAACAGAUCACUGUGCAGACUGCCCCGUGAAACGGGGAGGAAGGCGAGGAUGACGUCAAGUCAGCAUGGCCCUUACGUCCAGGGCUGCACACGUACUACAAUGCUCAGCACAAUUCGAUCCGGUUUCGCGAGAUUCCGGUAAUCAAAAAAGCUGAGUUCAGUUCGGA
rnacentral:rRNA from 1 species